UACGAUUAUACUGGUUUUCUUACGCAGAUACGUCUCCGUUGGUGUCGUGGCUGUUUUUGGCCCGGGCGGUGUCCGUGUAGUCGCAGAGAGGAAGCCGCACCGGUGGUUUCGAUCGAACUUGGAAGCAAAAAGAUUCCGCCGUUGUCGGUCGGCGCACCCAGGGCCUUUCUCAAUGGGAAUCUCCGCCGUCGACGCACCCAGGGCCUUCUCCAUGGGAAUCUCCGCCGUCGUGCGCGGGACGAAGCAGCGGCUGCGGGAACUCUUCUGUGCAAGUACGCAUCCUCCUCCGCCGCGUCUCUCUUCUUCCUCAUUCUCAUCAAAUCGAACACGCCCGGCCGGCAUCUAUCCCCGCCGUUAUUUUCUUCACCAAAUCGACCCUCUUU
rnacentral:lncRNA from 1 species